rnacentral:rRNA from 1 species
UACGUAGGUCCCGAGCGUUGUCCGGAUUUAUUGGGCGUAAAGCGAGCGCAGGUGGUUUAUUAAGUCUGGUGUAAAAGGCAGUGGCUCAACCAUUGUAUGGAUUGGAAACUGGUAGACUUGAGUGCAGGAGAGGAGAGUGGAAUUCCAUGUGUAGCGGUGGAAUGCGUAGAUAUAUGGAGGAACACCGGUGGCGAAAGCGGCUCUCUGGUCUGUAACUGACGCUGAGGCUCGAAAGCGUGGGUAGCGAACAGG